UCCGGCUUGACGCCGGCAGUCCCCCGACAGCCAUGCAGCAUCUGUGCUGGCUCUCGACUUUACGAGUGGUUCCCCUUUCGGGGUUCUACUUCCAGCAUGUCAAGCCUAGGUGAGGUUCUUCGCGUUGCAUCGAAUUAAACCACACGCUCCGCUGCUUGUGCGGGCCCCCGUCAAUUCCUUUGAGCUUUAGCCUUGCGGCCGUACUCCCCAGGCGGGGUGCUUAAUGCGUUAGCUUCGGCACGGAAGGAGUCGACACCUCCCACACCUAGCACCCAUCGUUUACGGCGUGGACUAC
rnacentral:misc_RNA from 1 species